rnacentral:misc_RNA from 1 species
AACACUGUUAACCUGCGGUACCUGCGGAAGGAUCAUUACAGAGUGUUUAACCCCCUAUAAAAUGGUGGGUCUAACCUCCCGUCCUUUGCUGGGUCCCCCUUCUGGAGGACCUUCAAAACUUUCUGCUUCGGCGGGGUAUACCCGCCGGAACACCCUCAAAAAAUUCUUGAUCAAAAUGGUUCGGUCCGAGAAACUUUUUGUGAAAAUUAGCGAAAAACUUUCAACAAUGGAUCUCAGAUC